CCGGUAAACGGCGGCCGUAACUAUAACGGUCCUAAGGUAGCGAAAUUCCUUGUCGGGUAAGUUCCGACCUGCACGAAUGGCGUAAUGAUGGCCACGCUGUCUCCACCCGAGACUCAGUGAAAUUGAAUUUGCGGUGAAGAUGCCGUAUACCCGCGGCUAGACGGAAAGACCCCGUGAACCUUUACUACAGCUUGGCACUGAACAUUGACCCUACAUGUGUAGGAUAGGUGGGAGGCUUUGAAGCAUUGUCGCUAG
rnacentral:rRNA from 1 species